rnacentral:rRNA from 1 species
GAGUUUGAUCCUGGCUCAGAGCGAACGCUGGCGGCAGGCUUAACACAUGCAAGUCGAGCGGGUGUAGCAAUACAUCAGCGGCAGACGGGUGAGUAACGCGUGGGAACGUACCUUUUGGUCCGGAACAACCCAGGGAAACUUGGGCUAAUACCGGAUAAGCCCUUACGGGGAAAGAUUUAUCGCCGAAAGAUCGGCCCGCGUCUGAUUAGCUAGUUGGUGAGGUAAUGGCUCACCAAGGCGACGAUCAGUAGCUGGUCUGAGAGGAUGAUCAGCCACAUUGGGACUGAGACACGGCCCAAACUCCUACGGGAGGCAGCAGUGGGGAAUAUUGGACAAUGGGGGCAACCCUGAUCCAGCCAUGCCGCGUGAGUGAUGAAGGCCCUAGGGUUGUAAAGCUCUUUUGUGCGGGAAGAUAAUGACGGUACCGCAAGAAUAAGCCCCGGCUAACUUCGUGCCAGCCGCCGCCGUAAU